CCCCUUCGACCGAAGUCCUGACGGUUGCCCCCGAGAGGCCGGGCGACCGCUCUCUUCGUUUCUGUUCCCCUACAGGGAUAGGAAGCGCCGGCUCGGCUCGCUCGGCCCCGAGUUACCGACCUUGCCUCCAUCUGGCGGAUCCAGCGCCUCCCUCGCGAGCCUCCAAGACAGCAGCGAGCGGCCCCUGGGCGCCGCUGGCCGAGUGAGGCCUGAGGGGGAACUAAGGCGACCCAGGGUGCAGCGGGCGCGGCUCCGGGCAUGCGCGGCGACUUCCCGCCGAGCGCCCCGCGGCCACGGUCCCGGAGCACCGGGGCGGACCGCGGAGGUAGGCGGUGCGCCCUCUGCCCUUUUAAAUGCGGACUCCCCGCCUUGCGUGCGGCCCCUCCACCCCCCAGCGCCGGGGUGGCUCUCAGGGUCUGCUCCCCCUCCUCGCGCUUAAGAGUUUGGUUUAGGGAGGUGGCAAGGCUGCACGCCGCCCCGGUCCCCAGUCCCAAACCAUCUUAAGGAAACUGUUGUCAGAUGUCGAAUCGCCUAGGCAUCACCCGCCAGCGAGGACACACAGUCCUCACUGUCUUUUCACUCGGCUUCACCACUAGCCAGCAGGGGAUCAGUGCAGAUGGGAUUAGAAAUCGGAUCAACCACCGAGUGCGGUGCUUUCCGUGUGAGGGAUUAUCCGCCUUACUCCCCCAGUACCAUCAGUGAAAUGCCGGUAGGAGGAGCUCACUGUAAUUACGGAUAGACUUCCGGAAUGUAUAUAAAUAUGUGAGCUGUUUUGGUUUUGGUUCUCCCCCCCCCCCCCAACCGAAAUAGGUAUAAGAAAGAGUAGUCGCUUAAUUCAGAUGAGAUGCCCAAUGGGAGCGGCGUCUUUGAAUGAGAAGAGAGAAAACGCCAGAGUGCUAAGUUUGGGUGCUCUUGCCCGGUUUGCAGCGCUAUACCUGUUGCCCGGCCUGUUCAGCACACUUUCAUACAGUGGGGUAUAUUAAGCAGCUGUUGGGAUGCCAAGGGAAACCUAGGUCCUGGUCUAGAUGAAAAUUUGGAUUUCGACAAAACACAACGCGGAAUUCGGCGUCCUGAGGACAAGGGCUAUAUUGGAAGGCCUGGGAACUAAUGUGUUAAUGUACUUUAACGCUGAGAUUUUGAUCAGUGGAGUAUUAAGCCAACCGAGGCAAGCACAGUAUUUAUUGAAUUUCUGAGAACGUGGGACGAAUUUUCUUUCCAUUAUUUAAUAUUAAAGAGCCAGGUCUUGUUGAAAAUAACCAUUGUUAAGGUUAUUGACUUGAUUUUGUUGUUAUUUUGUUUUUGGUUUGGUUUGGUUUGGUUUGGUUUUGAUUUCGAGACAGGGUUUCUCUGUGUAGCCCUGGCUGUCCUGGAGCUCACUCUCUAGACCAGACUGGCCUCAAACUCAGAAAUCCUUCUGCCUCUGCCCCCCAAGUGCUGAGUUAAAGGCGUGUGCCACCACUGCCCAGCUUGUUCCCUUUUUUUAAAACCUGAAUUAAUUUUUGUAUUUACUCACAAACUUGGUUCAGCCAAUUCUAGCUAAAAGGUGGAAUUACUGCAAGCUGCCCUGUUUCUUACUGAUUGGAGUUAGACACUGUAUGGGCCCAUGGAUUUUAUACAGCCUGCUUUACUGAGCUGCAGGCUGACUGGUUGUGACUUACCAAGAGCAAAAAAAAAAAAAAAACAAGUUGAGAAGCAAGGAAGGAUUUUGGAAAGCAUUCUUGGUACCUCAAAUAAUUCUGACAGACUGAAGGACGAGAAAGAACUCCAGAUCCCUGUUUUCCACUGGCACUGAUAGAAACUUUGUGAACUUAAAACAUGAUAAUGUGUAUGGAUUAGUGCAGGUGUGCUUUUCUUGCUGCAUUUAUUCAUACAGGUUAAUCUAAUUCUGGCAUCCUUCUGGAAGCAGCCUGUGUGGGGAAAAUGUUUACUCGAGGAUGGGAAGUAGGCAUUGCAUUCUUUAGUCCUUGCAAUUCCAGCUCUUGACCCAAGCUAUUUAUCAGUGUCCUUCUCUUAAAGUAGCUACUCAUAUGGCCUCUUCAGAGUGGGUCUCCUAACUCCUGAACGCAAAAUUUAAAAAUCUCCCACUCUACACUCUAGAAAUUGAUGCUAUUCUGGGGUGGGAUGGGCAGGGUUGUUCUUUAGUAUUUUGUCCUGCUCUUAAACUGACCUGGAAAAAGAUAAGUAGCUGAUGCCCCCCCCCCAAUAGUGUGCAAUUGGCUUCAAAUUACUGGACUAAGUCUAUUAUGUGCCUUUUAUUAGGUGCCUAAUGGGAAAUGUCCUCAAGCCUAUUUCUUUUAUACUAAAAUGUUUAUGUCCAUAGUUAAUAUGGUAUGAGAUGAGAGAAACAGUCUCAACUGAUUAAAAGCAAACUAGCAGGAACUGAGGGAAAACAGUUUCUGCCUGAAUUAAGCUGAUUACAUUAGAAAAUCUUUUCUUCUGUUUAAUAUUUCAUUUUUUUCCCUUUUUUCUUUUCUUUGAUUGGUGGCUGUGUACCAUGUACAUGCCUGGUGCUCAAGGAUCUUGUAUCUUUUGCACUGAAAAGGGUGUCAAAUCCUGUGGACCUAGAAUUGCACACAGCUGUGAGCCACCGUGUGAGCGCUACAGACCAAACCCAGAUCCUUUGCAAGAACAGCCCGUGUUCUGAAACUUAGAGCCAUCUCUCCAGCUCGGAAUUUUUCUUUUUUUUAACUUUUUGAAUUUUGCCUUUUAAUUAUUUUUUUUUUUUAGGUUAGCUUACAAAGUAAUGGGUUUUAUCGUGACAUCUUAAUACAAAUAUGUCAUAGGCCAGGUUGGCCUCAGACCUGAGAUCUUUCUUUGUCUACCUCUCAAGUGCUGGGAAUACUCGUAUGUGCUGCCAUACCCAGCUUAAUAUACAUUUAAAAAAAUUUUAGGAUGUAAACUUCCAAACACAAAAGUAUACUUAUAUAUACCAUUUGCUCAGGAUCCCCAUUAUCAGCAUGUGACUAUAUUUAAUGGAUGACCUUUGUUUUUCAUCCUCAGUGGAGUAGUAAAAUCUUAUUUGAUGGGGCUGUAGAUAUGGCCCAGUGGUUAAGAGCACUUGCCGCUCUUGGACCUGGGUUCAAUUCCCAGCAUCUACAGUGCAGUUUAUAACCAUUCCUAAUUCCAGUUCUCUGACUUCUGUAGGCACCAGGCAUAGAUGUGGUGCACCUACAUACAUGCAGGCCAACACUUACACACAUAAAAUUAUCUAAACACUUUUUUUAAAAAAAAGGGCGGGGCAUGGUGGCGCAUGCCUUUAAUCCCAGCACUCAGGAGGCAGAGGCAGGGGGAUUUCUGAGUUGGAGGCCAACCUGGGGUGGGAGGGGGGCGGGCAGGACUUCUCCAAGGUCACUGAAAAGCCACCCAAACGAUCUCUGCUGGUGACACUGCUUCUUAAAAUAUUCACUGAAGAGGAGCGUCUGUGCUACUUAGCAGUGUAGGGUCUCUUGUCUGACCCUACUUCUAUUUUCUGUUCAAAUUCCUCUCAGCAAAGUCUUGUAUAAAUGGGGUGUGUGUGUGUGUGUGUAGAAUUUUUUAUUACAGGAAUUUUGGUUAUUCUACCUCAUGGAUGUAUAUUUCCCAGCAACCACCUGGUGGCUCACAGUUAUCUGUAACUCCAGUUCCAGGGGAUCCGAUCAAUGCCCUCUACUGACCUCCAUGGCACCAUACACACAGGUGCACAUACAUACAAGCAAAUGCAACACUCACUCAUACAUGUGUAAAUACAAAUCUUAUGUGAAAGUGCUUUACCUAUAAACAGAUAAAAUACAAUAAGAGUUUAGACAUACAUUGCCAUUACUCUAACCCAUAAAUUUUUCAUAAUAAGAGUUUCUGUGUUUGUCCACUGUCUCAUUUAAUCUUUUCACAUUUGUAUUAACAGAAUCCAAUCAAGUCUCAAACAUUUCAUUUGGUUAGUGAGGGUUUUCCUAAACCAGUAAGACCAGUUAAGUCCCUCUUCAAUUUAAUGAGACUGCAAUGAUUAUCUGAUAUUUGGAUGGUUGAAAAGCACUGUUAAAAAUAUUAGGAGAUUCAGAAAAAUUAUGUAUUUGAGUACACUGUUCCUCUCUUCAGAUACACCAGAAGAGGGCAUCGGAUCCCAUUACAGAUGGUUGUGAGCCACCAUGUGGUUGCUGGGAAUUGAACUCAGGACCUCUGGAAGAGCAGUCAGUGCUCUUAACCACUGAGCCAUCUCUCCAGUCCCAGAAAAAUUAUGGUAAAUGAAAUUUUUACAUAAAAAGGGCAUCAGCCUGGUGUGAUGGCAUACUACUUCAAUCCCAACACUCUAGACACACAGGAGGGCAAAGAUUUUGUGAGUUUGGAGCUGGAGAGAUGGCUCACCAGGUAAGAACAUUAGCUGCUCUUGCAGAGGUCCUGAGUUAAAUUCCUAGCAAUCACAUGGUGGCUCACAACCAUCUGUAAUGAGAUCUGACGCCCUCUGCUGGUGUAUCUGAAGACAGCUAUAUAUGUAAUCAUAUACAUAGCAUAAAUAAUUUUUAAAAAAAGAAAUAGAAACUACUUUGGUUAGGACAAAGUUAAGGAAAUAUCAGAUUCUCUAUCAAGAAAGAGUGUUAUAUGCAAAAAGAAAAAAAAAGGUAAAUAAAAAAAAAGUGUGGGGGCUGGUGAGAUGGCUCAGUGGGUAAGAGCACCCGACUGCUCUUCCGAAGGUCAGGAGUUCAAAUCCCAGCAACCACAUGGUGGCUCACAACCAUCCGUAACGAAAUCUGACUCCCUCUUUUGGAGUGUCUGAGGACAGCUACAGUGUACUUACAUAUAGUAAAUAAAUAAAUAAAUAAACAAAUCUUUUAAAAAAAGUGUUAUAUGCAAUCUAUGUACUUUAGGUUUGGGUUCUGUAGUGGUACUGUUCAGCAUUUAGGAUAACUAACUACUAAUAGCAAAAAGUUAUCCUAAAACACUUAAAUUAAGGAGAGAGAAACUACUUGAACUAUCAUUGAUAUGCUCGGUACACUAGUCCCAUAACUGAUGAAAAGGCAAACAUUUUUGUCUCCUUGUUUAUCACAGAGAGAAAAAAAUAACACAUAUGUUAUACUUUGCAUAAUGCUGACCAGAAAAACAUUCGUUUUCCCUAGAUGGUUACCAUAGUUACGUGAGCCAUUUAUAACAUCAAGAGGGAACUAGGUCACAGUAUUGAAGGAGUUUGAAUUAUGCAAUUAUGUUUCCUAAAAGCAGGGGAAAGGAUUGAAAUUUAGAAAAAGGAGCUUAGUGCUGUGUGUUCAAAUUGAAAUUAAAGUCUAAUUUUGUCUGUGAAACUUUAAAAUGUCCAAGAUUAAAUUAUCAAUAGAUACGUUGUUCAACAUAGUAGUAGGUAGAUCCAUACAUGUUUUUGAAAAGAUACCCUAACAUUCUGUCCUUGUUGAUAAACCCUUUAUCCUAGUAGACUGUCUUUCUUGAGGUGUUUCUGCAAGUAAUCUGUGUACCAGCGAUUGCCUGUAAUCCGUGAGUAGUCAGAUAUGCGGGAAAUGAAGCUUUCACCACCUUCCCUCCUUGAGGACCUGAGAAAAACUGUGGUCCAUGUCUGUGAGAUACCAUCCUUCUUUGAGAAUGGAGAUGCUGCCCUGAAAUUGUUACUCUGUGACACUUGUGAUUUGCGAUAGAUAACAUCAAGUAGAAAUAAGAGCAUUCGGAGAGGAAAUACGGUGAAGGGUAUGUUUGACUGAUUUGUUUGUUUUGAGAUAGGCUGGCAUGGAACUCAUAGAGCUCUGCCUGCUUCUUCCCAAGUGCUGACGAUAAGUGUAUAUGACAUCAUAUCCGUAGAGAGGAACUGUAUUUUUUAAAUAUACUUUUAUUAAUUUUUGAAAACUUCAUGUACCCAUAUAGUAUAUCUUGAUCAUAUUCAUACCCACUUAUAAUUCUAUUUUCUCCUUCCCUUUCCUCCAAACCUAUAUAACCCCUUCCUCUCUUCCAAAGUCGUGGCUACUUUUAGCAUAAAUUGUUGUCCCAUACAAUAUGUAUAAGCAUAUUUCUAAAGACAUUAAUAUAAGCUGCUCAGUCUGCACAGUGUUUCUCAUAUGCUUUCUGGGCUGACCAUUUGGUACUAGAUAAGCAACUGGUUUGCUCUUCCUGGGCAUUAGCUGCCUCACUCUUGGUGUUGCUCAGGUCUGUAGUUCUCUGUGUAAGGUCGAGGCCUCUUGGGCUUUUCCCUGUCCAGCGUGGCUUGUCUGUUGGUGUCAUCCUUGCUCCAUUCAUGUUUUAGGCAGUCUUCUUGGUGAGACUUGUGGGUGUAUCCUCUGACAUCCCAAGGAGACACGAUCUUAUAACAAACUGCUGAUCCUCUGGAUGCUGAAGUCCUUCUGCCCUCUCUUCUACAAUGAUCCCUACGUAGGAGUGUCUCCAUACAACUCCAUCCUUUCUUUAGUUAGGGAUAGAUGUUCUGUUUUGUUGUGGGUUUUUUUUUUUCUUAUUACCAAGACCCUCAAGAGAAGAUGUUUUUCUCCAGAGACCGUGUCUGUGGUUUGUACAGUGCUUAAUAAGUAGAGAUUGAAGAACAGGAAAGAAAGGCUUUGUCUUGCAGUUUCAGAAGGCUCAUCUCAAGUUCAAGGUCACUGUGAAGAUUCUUCAUGUAAAAAGAAGCCCUGGGUCACUGGUUCUGCAACGGAAAGGAGUGCAGAGAAACAGGCAGCCUCACCAAGGACCUGUCAGAGCUCACAGCCCUCCCUCUCUUGGAGCCGUGCAGAAGAGUUUGAAGAUCAGUAUUAUAAAAUUACCUACCUGAGCUGAUGUCUUGGCUCAGCAGUGAGUUCCCUCCCCAGCUCCCAUAGGUGACAGGAGAGAAGUGACUCCUGAGAACUGUUUGCUGACCUCUACGCUGUGGCGUGGACUCCUGUGCUCACACACAAAAGAAAUGAGUAAUAUUUUAAAAUAAUAAAUUGUGUACAGAUUUUUUUUUUUUUUUACAGAUGACAGUGUUGGGACAGAGAGCAUUAACUUGCUCGGGGACACACAGCAAUGUGUAAAUCCGUACACACCACACAGUACAAAAGUGAGACAAAGGUACUCUGACUUUCUCACUGAGAAUCAUCAUUGGAGAGAAAAAGCCAUAGAAAGAAAUUUAAAGACGGGAUUAUAAGUUUGUUUGUUUUUUUUUUCCUGUAGAGUCUUACAGCAAAUUUAACAGAAGCAUCCAGAGAGGAAAAUUAGCAUAUUCUCUUCAAACUAUCACAAACUUGAAAGUAGCAGAAGCCACGUGUCCCUUAGACUGUUAUUUCUAGCCCUAGCUGAGUUCUUCAGCCGCCGCUGAGUAUUUGUCUUUUAAAAAUGAAGCUAAUACUAUUAGCCAGGUGCUGUCUGCUAAACUCUUGUUCCUUUUAAAUGAUCUAACUGGUCUGGAGGUAGAGAGCACACUCAGUAUAACGUGGGCCUUUCUCUAGCCCCUAAAAAUGAAAUUAGAAUCAAUUAUUUAAUGAGGCUUUAUUGGAGCUAUUGCUAUGUUAACUGCUUUUGGCAUGAUUAAUUUAAUCCAGGAUGUUGAUAAAUAAUGAUUUAUCUUUAAUGGGAAAUGGAUUUUUCUAAACUGCUUAUUAAGUUUAUUUCCAUAAAUAGACAUUUUCCAACAACUUCCAUACCUGAAAGUAGUUUAUGUUACUUAUACAACAGCAUAUGUAGGAAAUGUUCCUAGAAAGUCAUGUUUAAGCCUUAUUUUGUUAUAUCAAGUGACUCAUUAAAUCCAUGUGUAUAUGUGAGGUGUUCUUGUGUGAAUGCAUGUGAAUGUAUAAAGAGCAAAGGACAACCUAAGAUGUUGAUCCUUGCCGUCUACUUGUUUUGAUUCAGGAUCUCGUGUUCCUGGCUGUGUACGCCAGGCUAACUGAGCCCAGAGCUGGAAGAUUUUCUCCCACCUCUUGCCAUAGGAGUUCUGAGAUUAUACACAUGUAUAUAUAUUUCAGAGACCCAAACUCAUGCCCUGAUGCUUGCACAAGCACUUAACCCACUGAGCCUUCUUAGCAAGUAAUUUUAAAGGUACUGGUUCUAUAAAAAUAAAUUUUAUAAGACCACAAUUGAGAAUCAUCUUUUUAAAUAAAAAUUUAUUUUCAGCUA